GGGGAAGACGGCAGAACAGCUCUUUGAUGCGUCUCUGAGAAAGAUUGUGGAAGAGCUGAAGCACAGCAGCUGCCAGGAGGUCCUGGAGAAGUAUGACUCCUUCUCCACCAAGGAGUACCUGAUCAAGGUGGGGAACCUGAGCCGCGGGGCCGUGCAGAUGAUUGGCGACAUGCUGAACACAGACUCCGGUUACUACGAGGCCUUUACUGAGACCCUGCGUGGCAUCAUCUCCUUUUUCCAAGAGCCCCGGUUCGAUGAAAUCGUUGGAGGCUUUGACCAACUCCCCCAGGCCCUGCACGAUUCUCUCCUCCCAGGGACUGUCCGG